rnacentral:rRNA from 1 species
AGCUUGUUGGUGAGGUAAAAGCUCACCAAGGCGACGAUCUGUAGCGGGUCUGAGAGGAUGAUCCGCCACACUGGAACUGAGACACGGUCCAGACUCCUACGGGAGGCAGCAGUGGGGAAUUUUGGACAAUGGGGGCAACCCUGAUCCAGCCAUGCCGCGUGAGUGAAGAAGGCCUUCGGGUUGUAAAGCUCUUUCAGCCGGGAAGAAAACGCAUGGGUUAAUACCCUGUGUGGAUGACGGUACCGGAAUAAGAAGCACCGGCUAACUACGUGCCAGCAGCCGCGGUAAUACGUAGGGUGCGAGCGUUAAUCGGAAUUACUGGGCGUAAAGCGUGCGCAGGCGGUUUUGUAGGACAGGCGUGAAAUCCCCGGGCUUAACCUGGGAACUGCGUUUGUGACUGCAAGGCUAGAGUACGGCAGAGGGGGGUGGAAUUCCACGUGUAGCAAUGAAAUGCGUAGAGAUGUGGAGGAACACCAAUGGCGAAGGCAGCCCCCUGGGUCGAUACUGACGCUCAUGCACGAAAGCGUGGGUAGCAAACAGGAUUAGAUACCCUGGUAGUCCACGCCCUAAACGAUGUCAACUAGGUGUUGGGAGGGUAAAACCUUUUAGUACCGGAGCUAACGCGUGAAGUUGACCGCCUGGGGAGUACGGCCGCAAGGUUAAAACUCAAAGGAAUUGACGGGGACUCGCACAAGCGGUGGAUGAUGUGGAUUAAUUCGAUGCAACGCGAAAAACCUUACCUACCCUUGACAUGCCAAGAACUUUCCAGAGAUGGAUUGGUGCCCGAAAGGGAACUUGGACACAGGUGCUGCAUGGCUGUCGUCAGCUCGUGUCGAGAGAUGUUGGGUUAAGUCCCGCAACGAGCGCAACCCUUGUCGUUAAUUGCUAUCAUUUAGUUGGGCACUUUAACGAGACUGCCGGUGACAAACCGGAGGAAGGUGGGGAUGACGUCAAGUCCUCAUGGCCCUUAUGGGUAGGGCUUCACACGUCAUACAAUGGUCGGUACAAAGGGUCGCCAAGCCGCGAGGUGGAGCCAAUCCCAGAAAGCCGAUCGUAGUCCGGAUCGCAGUCUGCAACUCGACUGCGUGAAGUCGGAAUCGCUAGUAAUCGUGGAUCAGAAUGUCACGGUGAAUACGUUCCCGGGUCUUGUACACACCGCCCGUCACACCAUGGGAGCGGGUUCCGCCAGAAGUAGGUAGCCUAACCGCAAGGAGGGCGCUUACCACGGCGGGGUUCGUGACUGGGGUGAAGUCGUAACAAGGUAGCCGUA